AUUGAACGCUGGCGGAAUGCUUUACACAUGCAAGUCGAACGGCAGCACGGACUUCGGUCUGGCGGCGAGUGGCGAACGGGUGAGUAAUGUAUCGGAACGUGCCCAGUCGUGGGGGAUAACGUAGUGAAAAUUACGCUAAUACCGCAUACGAUCUAUGGAUGAAAGCGGGGGAUCGCAAGACCUCGCGCGAUCGGAGCGGCCGAUAUCAGAUUAGGUAGUUGGUGGGGUAGAGGCCCACCAAGCCAACGAUCUGUAGCUGGUCUGAGAGGACGACCAGCCACACUGGAACUGAGACACGGUCCAGACUCCUACGGGAGGCAGCAGUGGGGAAUUUUGGACAAUGGGCGAAAGCCUGAUCCAGCCAUUCCGCGUGCAGGAUGAAGGCCCUCGGGUUGUAAACUGCUUUUGUACAGAACGAAAAGGUUUCUACUAAUACUAGGAGCUCAUGACGGUACUGUAAGAAUAAGCACCGGCUAACUACGUGCCAGCCGCCGCCGUAA
rnacentral:rRNA from 1 species